rnacentral:rRNA from 1 species
CCUACGGGAGGCAGCAGUAGGGAAUCUUCCACAAUGGGCGAAAGCCUGAUGGAGCAACGCCGCGUGGGUGAAGAAGGUCUUCGGAUCGUAAAACCCUGUUGUUAGAGAAGAAAGUGCGUGAGAGUAACUGUUCACGUUUCGACGGUAUCUAACCAGAAAGCCACGGCUAACUACGUGCCAGCAGCCGCGUUAGUACGUAGGUGGCAAGCGUUAUCCGGAUUUAUUGGGCGUAAAGGGAACGCAGGCGGUCUUUUAAGUCUGAUGUGAAAGCCUUCGGCUUAACCGGAGUAGUGCAUUGGAAACUGGGAGACUUGAGUGCAGAAGAGGCGAGUGGAACUCCAGGGGUAGCGGUGAAAUGCGUAGAUAUAUGGAAGAACACCAGUGGCGAAAGCGGCUUUCUGGUCUGUAACUGACGCUGAGGUUCGAAAGCGUGGGGAGCAAACAGGAUUAGAUACCCUAGUAGUC